CCAGAAUGACUAAAAUACGUCACAUCCGCCUGGGGAGCGUCCACUUUAACACACAGCCGGUGAGAGAGAAGAUUUACAAGAGAAGACGUGGAAAAAGUCAAGGAACAAGAAAGGUAAAUAUAAUUGUUGUGUUUUUUAAACCCUCGUGUAGUGGAUAUGUGACGUGUAUGGAUGUUUAUGCACUAAAUGACGAACAUUAGGGUUACAUGUGUGAUCGUGCAGACCUUCCAGCGAGGCUCAGCCUGCAGUGGCUCUGAUCUUUCCUUCAAUGUCUGCUAGAGAGACGUGAGGCCGUUUGAGGCCCUGCUGUGUGCUCCUCAUGGCAGGGUUAUAGGAUGCAGAUGAAGGAUGGUGUGUCUCCGCUCAGAGCUCCUGACUGACAUCUGAGGCUCCUCAAUGACUUCAGGAUGCAGAUGAAGGAUGGUGUGUCUCUGCUCAGAGCUCCUGACUGACAUCUGAGGCUCCUCAGUGACUUAAGGAUGCAGAUGAAGGAUGGUGUGUCUCCGCUCAGAGCUCCUGACUGACAUCUGAUGCUCCUCAAUGACUUCAGGAGUGAUUAAUUCAGCUCUGUGAUCAGCGGCUGCAGACGUCGGGCAUGUUGAACGUCUCUCUGGAGACUUCCUGACAGCCCCAAAAAGACUUGAUGUGUCCGUAACCGUGACGACUGAUGUUAACUGUGAUCUUCAGGAUUAUCUCCAGCAACCAGACUUUGACCCAGAUUUUUCCUGCGAGUCAAGGAACCGGCUCGUCUGCUGUUUGGCUGUCUGACAGUCAGAUCAUGUGGUUUUGUGUCAUUGGCACACUUUUGGAAAAGGUGACUCAUGUAAUGUGUAUUUAUAAGUAAUAACAGAAUGACGCAAUGUGGAAAUAAACAUCUGAAACAAA